rnacentral:lncRNA from 1 species
CUGGCCGUUAGACAAUCUUUUCCUUUUAUGGCUUUGAAGGGUACAAAACCAGGUGACACACUGGGAGAGUUGAUCACUGAAAGUUUCCAAGACAUGCUGGGGAAGAUGUGCCAAUAAUCAGGAAUAUAUGAAGCUAUAAAUCUGAGGGGAAGAGACUGGAAUAUGACCAUCUGCUAAUUUUGGAAGGGAAUACAAGCUGAAAUGAGAGUCCUUUUAAGACCAAGUCUCUUCUGAUUCUGGAAAGGAUGGAGACAAACUCCAAACUCCAUUGUGAAGAAAAUAUUCUACAUUCGCCAAUGCAAUGAAUAACCCUGGUAGAAGUCAGUCAUCCUUGUUUUCAGAACACUAUCCUAGAAGGCAAUGUGAUGCUAGUGUCAGGAGAAUCCCCACUACGGCACUGGGAGUCCAGCUGUGAAGGAACAAAACAAAACAGUACAUGAAGAAUCAAGGACAAAAAUACAAAUUGCAUAGGAGCAAGAGCAGGCUGUGAUCACAAAGCAUAUACAGGAAAGAGAGGAGGCGGUAUCUCUGUCGAAGUCCAGACAUACAGAAUCGCAGAACACAAGGCUCAGCUAAG